AAUAGUUGAUAUAAAUGAUAAAUAAACAAAGCAUAAUGCAGGCUAAACAUAAGAACCAUAUUUCAUAGACUGGUUCAAAAUUUUCAGAGUAAACUAUUGCCUGAAAUAUUUUUGUGAGUAAAGAGUGACUAACAAGAUGAAAGUGUUCUUCAACCAGCUGGUAACAAUAUUUUCAAUGUCAGACAUCAGCUAAUGCAGGGGCUAGAAAGCUAUUUGAGCAAUAUGCAUGCUCAAAUUCUAAUUUAGUUUCUUAAAAAAUUAAAAAUGUUUAUUAAAACUGAUCAUCAACUUGUAAAUGCUACUUUAAAAGUACCUUAUGUUGAAAUGAAAUGAUUACAGUAAUAUAUUAAAUAAAGUAAUUAUUGCAAACAUAAUAAGCUAAAAUUUUGAAAUAUUACACAAAUCUACAGAGUCACAGCUGGCUAAGUUGCUACAAUAUUUGUUUACACAUUGAAUAAUCAACAGUGUAUAUUUUAUCAUUCCUACUACAUUGGUCCAGAAUAAACAAUACUAGUCUGCCUAGCUGGAAAUUGUUACCAUAAAGAGAUACAAUUUCAUAUUCUAAACAACAAUGUAUUAAAUUGAUGAGUGUUGUGUCAGCUUGUAACCAAAGCUCAAAACUUCCCAUAAGCAAAAUCUAGGAAAGAAUGUCCUAUCCAGGAGCAGAACUCUAACUACUUAAGAUAAUGAAAACUGAAAGAACUUUAGUACACUGAUAUAGUUUAGUAACAGAAGAUAAAUAUAAAUUAAAAAAGAUGGCUACAUGAUGAUCUACAGCUUUCCAGUUAGUUCAGUAUGGAGAACCAAGAAUCCAUAUGAAAAACCCAGUUGGGAAUUCACUGGAAGAGGUUUGAAGCAUAAAGAUGAUAAGCAGAUGACAUAUCUGUCUCUCAAAUUUCUUAGAGAAUAGAUGUCCUACGAGAAUAAAAGGCAAUUUCAAUAGAUUUAAAUGGAAGACAACAAAUUCCAGCUGAAGUGUUUCAUUAAGAUUUUAUUUUAUGACAUAAUUAUUCAAAACUAUAAAGUAAUGAAACAAAAAAAAAAUUUUAAUUAGAGAAAUAAAUCUUUAAAUAAUGUAUUUAUUUCCUAGUUUGGCGUUUAUCUAUUUUGACUCUUCCUUAUUUGUUAAGAUUCUGAAAAUUUUGAUAUUUACAAAUUUAUGCAAAUAUCAAAUGUUUUCAGACUUAGAUGGCAUUCUUGUAGACAACCAAACAUAUGUAUUGCUUAACAGUAGAAUGUGAAAGCUGUUAACCCAUUAACUAUUGUCUAACAGUCCAUUAUCUUAACCAAUGUAUUUCUUCAACACAAUAUAGUAAUAAAGAAAAUAAUUAACUAUUUGUAA